rnacentral:rRNA from 1 species
AUUGAACGCUGGCGGCAGGCCUACCACAUGCAAGUCGAACGAGUGGCGGACGGGUGAGUAAUGUCUGGGAAACUGCCUGAUGGAGGGGGAUAACUACUGGAAACGGUAGCUAAUACCGCAUACCAUCAGAUGUUCCCCGAUGGGAUUAGCUUGUUGGGGGGGUAACGGCUCACCAAGGCGACGAUCCCUAGCUGGUCUGAGAGGAUGACCAGCAAAACGGGAACGGAGAAACGGUCCAGACUCCUACGGGAGGAAGCGGGGGGGAAUAUUGAACAAUGGGCGCAAGCCUGAUGCAGCCAGGCCGGGUGUAUGAAGAAGGCCUUCGGGUUGUAAAGAACUUUCAGCGGGGAGGCGUUACCCGAAGAAGAAGCACCGGCAAACUCCGUGCCAGCAGCCGCGGUAAUA